ACAUUUUCAAUUACACUUCUAAAACAUCGUCACCUUACAUCCAUGAAAUUCUCAAAAUGCUUCAUUGAAACCUAGUUCUUCUUCUGCUAAAAUGCCCCAAAUCCCCCAUUGUAAUCCCUUUUGAAACCUCGCAACCUCAGAGCCCAGUUUUGGACAAAUCUGAAGCAUAAACAUCGGUGUGCUCUGAAACCACGGUGUGCCAAUUUUGGUGGGACGUGUACGAGUGGAAAGGGAGAACAAUGGAUUCCCUUUUCGUCUUCCUUCUUCCAUGAAGAGCACACUUUGUUGCUAUUAAUGGUAUGAGAAACUAAAUUUAAUAACUCCCUUUUUACUUCUUUUCUUAUGUUUAAGUGUUUAAUAAUUUACUGUAAGUAAUCAUCAUGCUGUUUUAAAUUUUUAAGAGUAGAUAAUUCUGAUAAUGGUGGCUUAAUACUAAAGGGAAUUUCACUGAAAUAGAGUCUGAUAUCAUCUUAUUAACUUUUUAAAUUUUACUCAAUCUUAUCUUGUAAGAUAGAUUUACACUCACCUCUAUAUUAUUAUAAAUUGACUAGGAUAGUUUUGUUUAAGCAGCAUGAUUUUAAUGUUCAUCAAACCAUUCCAUUAUUGAUAAGAAUACAAAUAUUUGUUACAGUGAUAACACUCCACUGAUGGCUGCACUGGGAUUAGGUAGAAAAGGGAUAGAUCAGAAAAUGACCUCUUUUCUUUGUUUUGGUUGUGUUUUUUUGACAUUUCUAGUUCUGUAUAUAGCACCCUUUUGAUGAGCACGCUUAUGCACCACCAUAAUUGGAAGGGCAAUCAGUUACAUACUCUGCAUCCACCCUAAAACCAGUGUAAACUGAUAUACAUAGGAAAGGUUGUUGCUUACGUGAUAUUAAAGUUUUUACCAUUAUCACUCUAUAAAGGUGAGUUUUGGUCCAUUUGGGAUGGAUUUCAUCCUCAAACGGAUUUACUCAUAAAGGUAACAAUAAAAUUCAGUAAUGGAAUCAAUUAACAUCCUUUUGUGCAAGUCAUCCAACAAGGAAAUCCAUUUCACUACACACCAU
rnacentral:lncRNA from 1 species